rnacentral:tRNA from 1 species
UCAAAGAUAGUUUAUAUAAAAUAUUAAUUUUGGAGAUUAAAGAUGAAUAGGUAUUUCUCUUUGAA